GACGAACGCUGGCGGCGUGCUUAACACAUGCAAGUCGAACGAUGAAGCCGGAGCUUGCUCCGGUGGAUUAGUGGCGAACGGGUGAGUAACACGUGAGUAACCUGCCCUUGACUCUGGGAUAACUGCUAGAAACGGUAGCUAAUACCGGAUACGACCCUCGGUGGCAUCACCAGGGGGUGGAAAGAAUUUCGGUCAAGGAUGGACUCGCGGCUUAUCAGCUAGUUGGUGAGGUAACGGCUAACCAAGGCGACGACGGGUAGCCGGCCUGAGGGGGUGACCGGCCACACUGGGACUGAGACACGGCCCAGACUACUACGGGAGGCAGCAGUGGGGAAUAUUGCACAAUGGGCGCAAGCCUGAUGCAGCGACGCCGCGUGAGGGAUGAAGGUCUUCGGAUUGUAAACCUCUUUCAGUAGGGACGAAGCGAAAGUGACGGUACCUAAAGAAGAAGCACCGGCUAACUACGUGCCAGCAGCCGCCGUAA
rnacentral:rRNA from 1 species